rnacentral:rRNA from 1 species
UACGGAGGGUGCAAGCGUUAUCCGGAUUCACUGGGUUUAAAGGGUGCGUAGGCGGGCAGGUAAGUCCGUGGUGAAAUCCCCGAGCUUAACUCGGGAACUGCCAUGGAUACUAUUUGUCUUGAAUAUUGUGGAGGUAAGCGGAAUAUGUCAUGUAGCGGUGAAAUGCUUAGAUAUGACAUAGAACACCAAUAGCGUAGGCAGCUUGCUACACGAAUAUUGACACUGAGGCACGAAAGCGUGGGGAUCAAACAGG